rnacentral:rRNA from 1 species
AUUGAACGCUGGCGGCAUGCCUUACACAUGCAAGUCGAACGGCAGCACGGGAGCAAUCCUGGUGGCGAGUGGCGAACGGGUGAGUAAUAUAUCGGAACGUGCCCAGUCGUGGGGGAUAACGUAGCGAAAGCUACGCUAAUACCGCAUACGAUCUACGGAUGAAAGCGGGGGAUCGCAAGGACCUCGCGCGAUUGGAGCGGCCGAUAUCAGAUUAGCUAGUUGGUGGGGUAAAAGCUCACCAAGGCGACGAUCUGUAGCUGGUCUGAGAGGACGACCAGCCACACUGGAACUGAGACACGGUCCAGACUCCUACGGGAGCAGCAGUGGGGAAUUUUGGACAAUGGCGCAAGCCUGAUCCAGCAAUGCCGCGUGCAGGAUGAAGGCCUUCGGGUUGUAAACGUGCUUUUGUACGGUAACGAAACGGUGAGCUCGUAAUAAAGCUUGCUAAUGACGGUACCGUAAGAAUAAGCUACCGGCUAACUACGUG